rnacentral:rRNA from 1 species
GAGUUUGAUCAUGGCUCAGGAUGAACGCCGGCGGUGUGCCUAAUACAUGCAAGUCGUACGCACUGGCCCAACUGAUUGAUGGUGCUUGCACCUGAUUGACGAUGGAUCACCAGUGAGUGGCGGACGGGUGAGUAACACGUAGGUAACCUGCCCGGAGCGGGGGAUAACAUUUGGAAACAGAUGCUAAUACCGCAUAACAACAAAGGCCACAUGGCUUCUGUUUGAAAGAUGGCUUUGGCCAUCACUCUGGGAUGGACCUGCGGUGCAUUAGCUAGUUGGUAAGGUAACGGCUUACCAAGGCGAUGAUGCAUAGCCGAGUUGAGAGACUGAUCGGCCACAAUGGAACUGAGACACGGUCCAUACUCCUACGGGAGGCAGCAGUAGGAAUCUUCCACAAUGGCGCAAGCCUGAUGGAGCAACACCGCGUGAGUGAAGAAGGGUUUCGGCGUCGUAAAGCUCUGUUGUUGGAGAAGAACGUGCGUGAGAA